CGGCAGGCUUAAUACAUGCAAGUCGUGGGGCAGCGCAGUGUAGCAAUACAUGGGCGGCGACCGGCAAACGGGUGCGGAACACGUACGCAACCUUCCUUUAAGUGGGGGAUAGCCCAGGGAAACUUGGAUUAAUACCCCGUAAUAUUACGGAAUGGCAUCAUUUUGUAAUUAUAGGCUUCGGCCGCUUGAAGAUGGGCGUGCGCCUGAUUAGGUAGUUGGCGGGGUAACGGCCCACCAAGCCUUCGAUCAGUAACUGGUGUGAGAGCACGACCAGUCACACGGGCACUGAGACACGGGCCCGACUCCUACGGGAGG
rnacentral:rRNA from 1 species